rnacentral:rRNA from 1 species
UAGGGAAUCUUCCACAAUGGACGCAAGUCUGAUGGAGCAACGCCGCGUGAGUGAAGAAGGUUUUCGGAUCGUAAAGCUCUGUUGUUGGUGAAGAAGGAUAGAGGCAGUAACUGGUCUUUAUUUGACGGUAAUCAACAAGAAAGUCACGGCUAACUACGUGCCAGCAGCCGCGGUAAUACGUAGGUGGCAAGCGUUGUCCGGAUUUAUUGGGCGUAAAGCGAGCGCAGGCGGAAUUGUAAGUCUGAUGUGAAAGCCCACGGCUCAACUGUGGAACUGCAUCGGAAACUGUCAGUCUUGAGUGCAGAAGAGGAGAGUGGAAUUCCAUGUGUAGCGGUGGAAUGCGUAGAUAUAUGGAAGAACACCAGUGGCGAAGGCGGCUCUCUGGUCUGCAACUGACGCUGAGGCUCGAAAGCAUGGGUAGCGAACAGG